CACGUAGGGCGCAAGCGUUGUCCGGAAUUAUUGGGCGUAAAGAGCUCGUAGGCGGUCUGUUACGUCUGCUGUGAAAACCCGGGGCUUAACCCUGGGCUUGCAGUGGAUACGGGCAGACUAGAGGCAGGUAGGGGAGAAUGGAAUUCCCGGUGUAGCGGUGAAAUGCGCAGAUAUCGGGAGGAACACCUGUGGCGAAAGCGGCGCACUGGACCACAUCUGACGCUGAGGCGCGAAAGCUAGGGGAGCAAACAGG
rnacentral:rRNA from 1 species